AUGGGCGUACUCGUCCGGCGCUCGCGCGCCGUCUGGAGGUCCGUGCCCACCCUUCUCUUCACCGACCCCGAGGGAUGGGGCAGCGCCUGUCGGUUUGCCGAGUUCGUGGACAACCUGCUCCACCUCAGGUGUGGGGGCGAUGGCGGCGCAGGCGCGCCUCUGGAUUCCUGCGAAUUCAACUUCGUUGACGACGAAUUCAUGCUAUCGCCCGCGAACCAGCGGCGCGCCACCAAUUGGAUCUGGAAAGCGGUGCACCGUGUCAGGGUGCUCCGGCUUCAUAUCGUCCAUGAGCAGGAACCCUCGCCACUAUCUGAUCUGCAUCUCGUUUCCCAGCACCUCACGAAGUUACAUCUUGAUGGUGUCUCUGUCAACGACAGCAUUGUUGAUUUUUCAGGCUGUCCGGCAUUGGUCGAGCUGACUAUGGAGUAUUGCGAUGUUUUUGUCAAACACCUGCUGUCUCCAUCCUUGAAACGUCUGCGCAUUGCCAGCUGCGAUAGUUCAGAGUAUACUCGCAUUCUUAUUUCUCUACCAAGUCUCGUUUCACUCGAGUUGAUUGAAUGGCAACGAGGAAGGGCCCCAUUGCUUGGAAGCUUGCCGUGGUUAGCAAGAGCCGUUGUUGAACUUGGCGAUGCUGCUGCUGAUUUGAUGCUCUAA
rnacentral:rRNA from 1 species